rnacentral:rRNA from 1 species
UACGUAGGGGGCAAGCGUUGUCCGGAUUUAUUGGGCGUAAAGAGCGUGUAGGCGGCCAAACAGGUCCGUUGUGAAAACUCGAGGCUCAACCUCGAGACGCCGAUGGAAACCGUCUGGCUAGAGUCCGGAAGAGGAGAGUGGAAUUCCUGGUGUAGCGGUGAAAUGCGCAGAUAUCAGGAAGAACACCCGUGGCUAAGGCGGCUCUCUAGUACGGUACUGACGCUGAGACGCGAAAGCGUGGGGAGCGAACAGG